GAUGCCGAAGGGCCAGCAGCGGCCCCGAAGCUCCGGGCUGGCCGCGCUGUCGCUCUGCCGCGCCCCGGUCUCGAAGUGAAGGUGCCUCUUCCUGGCUAGCCCACCUACAUGCUGUCAUCACUGGGCUUCUGCAACUCUCAGUCUUUGUGGCUGCACCCUUCCCUUCUGAAUCCUGAGGACCCAUGAGUGUCAGGCCCAUCAUGAAAUUGGUCGUCUUACUGGAUGAAACCCAAAGUUGUCCCAUGAAGGACUCCUGAAAACCCCUUUCAAGCCUCGGCCACAGAUGAUCUGCGGAAUGCUCAUUAAGGGGGAAACAAAGAGGGGCCUGGAAGUCAGUCUCCCACUAGCAGCCUUUGGAUGAAGACAUAGAACUCUCAGCUCUGCCUUCACCAUGCCUGCCUGCAUGCUGCCAUGUUCCCACCUUGAUGAUAAUGGACUGAACCUCUGAAACUGUCUUUCCCCUGCAGCUUUCCCGAGGCUGUACAGCAUUUAUUGGUGCUCAUCUGUUUGAGUAGAGCUGGCAUAGAGGACUGCCACCGGCUGGGAGGGGCCAUGGUACCAGAGGUCUUGGGUGCCUGAAGAUACUCCCCCUAGCCCUGAUGCCUUGGAAGAGAAGCCCUUCAAGACAAGCUGAUGCCAGGCCCUGGCCAGAGCUUCAUGUGGGAGGAAGGGUGACCAGCCAGUUUCACGCUCCAGCUGCCUGCUACCAUGCCUCCCCACGUCAUGGACUCUCCUUCUGUAACCAUAAGCCAAAAUAAACACUUUUCCCCCUCUGUAA
rnacentral:lncRNA from 1 species